AUUGAACGCUGGCGGCAGGCCUAACACAUGCAAGUCGAACGAGUGGCGGACGGGUGAGUAAUGUAUCGGAACCUGCCCAGUGGAGGGGGAUAACUACUGGAAACGGUGGCUAAUACCGCAUACUAUCGGAUCUGCCCAGAUGGGAUUAGCUAGUUGGUGGGGUAAAGGAUCACAAAGGCGACGAUCCCUAGCUGGUCUGAGAGGAUGACCAGCCACACUGGAACUGGGACACGGGCCAGACUCCUACGGGAGGAAGCAGUGGGGAAUAUUGGACAAUGGGAUAAAGCCUGAUCCAGCCAUGCCGCGUGUAUGAAGAAGGCCUUCGGGUUGUAAAGUACUUUCGGCAGAGAAGCGUUACCCGCAGAAGAAGCACCGGCUAACUCCGUGCCAGCAGCCGCGGUAAUUC
rnacentral:rRNA from 1 species